CUACGGGCCGCUGCAGUGAGGAAUAUUGCACAAUGGGGGGAACCCUGAUGCAGCAACGCCGCGUGGAGGAUGACGCAUUUCGGUGUGUAGACUCCUUUUAUAUGUCAAGAAAAUGACGGUAGCAUAUGAAUAAGCACCGGCUAACUCCGUGCCAGCAGCCGCGGUAAUACGGAGGGUGCAAGCGUUACUCGGAAUCACUGGGCGUAAAGGACGCGUAGGCGGGUUGGAAAGUCAGGUGUGAAAUCCUACAGCUUAACUGUAGAACUGCACUUGAAACUUCUAAUCUAGAGUAUGGGAGGGGGAGAUGGAAUUAGUGGUGUAGGGGUAAAAUCCGUAGAUAUCACUAGGAAUACCUAAAGCGAAGGCGAUCUUCUGGAACAUUACUGACGCUAAGGCGUGAAAGCGUGGGGAGCAAACAGGAUUAGAUACCCCCGUAGUC
rnacentral:rRNA from 1 species